CACGUAGGGCGCAAGCGUUGUCCGGAAUUAUUGGGCGUAAAGAGCUCGUAGGCGGUCUGUUGCGUCCGCUGUGAAAACUCGGGGCUUAACCCCGAGCCUGCAGUGGAUACGGGCAGACUAGAGGUAGGUAGGGGAGAAUGGAAUUCCCGGUGUAGCGGUGAAAUGCGCAGAUAUCGGGAGGAACACCGGUGGCGAAGGCGGGUCUCUGGGCCGGAACUGACGCUAAGGAGCGAAAGCGUGGGGAGCGAACAGG
rnacentral:rRNA from 1 species